AGCAGCCGCGGUAAUUCCAGCUCCAAUAGCGUAUAUUAAAGUUGUUGCAGUUAAAAAGCUCGUAGUUGAAUUUCGGGGUCAGUAGGUUGGUCAUGCCACUGGUAUGUACUGGUCUCACUGAUUCCUCCUUCCUGAUGAACUGUAAUGCCAUUAAUUUGGUGUUGCAGGGAAUCUGGACUGUUACUUUGAAAAAAUUAGAGUGUUUAAAGCAGGCUAACGCCUGAAUACAUUAGCAUGGAAUAAUGAAAUAGGACGUUCGAUCCUAUUUUGUUGGUUUCUAGGAUUGACGUAAUGAUUAAUAGGGAUAGUUGGGGGCAUUAGUAUUCAAUUGUCAGAGGUGAAAUUCUUGGAUUUAUUGAAGACUAACUACUGCGAAAGCAUUUGCCAAGGAUGUUUUCAUUAAUCAAGAACGAAAGUUAGGGGAUCGAAGGCGAUCAGAUACCGUCGUAG
rnacentral:rRNA from 1 species